rnacentral:rRNA from 1 species
UACGAAGGGGGCUAGCGUUGUUCGGAAUCACUGGGCGUAAAGCGCACGUAGGCGGAUUGCUAAGUCAGGGGUGAAAUCCUGGAGCUCAACUCCAGAACUGCCUUUGAUACUGGCGACCUUGAGUCCGGGAGAGGUGAGUGGAACUGCGAGUGUAGAGGUGAAAUUCGUAGAUAUUCGCAAGAACACCGGUGGCGAAGGCGGCCCACUGGAUCGGUACUGACGCUGAGGUGCGAAAGCGUGGGGAGCAAACAGG